rnacentral:rRNA from 1 species
GUCCACGCCCUAAACGAUGUCUACUAGUUGUCGGGUUUUAAUUAACUUGGUAACGCAGCUAACGCGUGAAGUAGACCGCCUGGGGAGUACGGUCGCAAGAUUAAAACUCAAAGGAAUUGACGGGGACCCGCACAAGCGGUGGAUGAUGUGGAUUAAUUCGAUGCAACGCGAAAAACCUUACAUACCCUUGACAUGUACGGAAGCCUUGAGAGAUCGAGGUGUGCUCGAAAGAGAGCCGUAACACAGGUGCUGCAUGGCUGUCGU